GUGCUCUCUGCAGCGGCGCAGAGACUGAAAUUGAAGCGACACAGAGAAGACCAGCGUGGCCCGUGCACCAGGAUGGCACCCAAAUUCACGAAGCGUUCGUAUUAAAA